AACGAACGCUGGCGGCAGGCCUAACACAUGCAAGUCGAACGCCGUAGCAAUACGGAGUGGCAGACGGGUGAGUAACACGUGGGAACGUACCCUUCGGUUCGGGAUAACUCAGGGAAACUUGAGCUAAUACCGGAUACGUCCGAGAGGAGAAAGAUUUAUUGCCGAGGGAUCGGCCCGCGUCUGAUUAGCUUGUUGGUGAGGUAACGGCUCACCAAGGCGACGAUCAGUAGCUGGUCNGAGAGGAUGAUCAGCCACAUUGGGACUGAGACACGGCCCAAACUCCUACGGGAGGCAGCAGUGGGGAAUAUUGGACAAUGGGCGCAAGCCUGAUCCAGCCAUGCCGCGUGAGUGAUGAAGGCCCUAGGGUUGUAAAGCU
rnacentral:rRNA from 1 species